UCCUACUUCUGGAUAUGGAUCAGAGCUGG
rnacentral:piRNA from 1 species